CCUACGGGGGGCAGCAGUGAGGAAUAUUGGUCAAUGGGCGCGAGCCUGAACCAGCCAAGUAGCGUGAAGGAUGACUGCCCUAUGGGUUGUAAACUUCUUUUAUAAAGGAAUAAAGUGCGGCACGUGUGCCGUUUUGUAUGUACCUUAUGAAUAAGCAUCGGCUAACUCCGUGCCAGCAGCCGCGGUAAUACGGAGGAUCCGAGCGUUAUCCGGAUUUAUUGGGUUUAAAGGGAGCGUAGAGCGGUUGUUAAGUCAGGUGUGAAAGGUUGCGGCUCAACCAUAGAAGUGCGGUUGAAACUGGCAUUCUUGAGUGCGCGAGAGGUAUGCGGAAUGCGUGGUGUAGCGGUGAAAUGCUUAGAUAUCACGAAGAACUCCGAUUGCGAAGGCAGCAUACUGAAGCGCCACUGACGUUGAUGCUCGAAAGUGUGGGUAUCGAACAGGAUUAGAUACCCUUGUAGUC
rnacentral:rRNA from 1 species